rnacentral:misc_RNA from 1 species
GAUGAAGAACGUAGCGAAAUGCGAUACUUGGUGUGAAUUGCAGAAUCCCGUGAACCAUCGAGUCUUUGAACGCAAGUUGCGCCCGAAGCCACUAGGCCGAGGGCACGCCUGCCUGGGCGUCACACGUCGUUGCCCCCCCAUCUACUCCUUCGGGAUUGCGGGGGGCGGAUGAUGGCCUCCCGUGCGCCUAGCCGCGCGGUUGGCAUAAAUACCAAGUCCUCGGCGACGCACGCCACGACAAUCGGUGGUUGCGAAACCUCGGUUGCCCGUCGUGUGCGUUCGUCGCGCAUCGAGGGCUCGAAAAAAUGCUCGGCUCCGGCUGGGCUUUCAACGCGACCCCAGGUCAGGCGGGGUUACCCGCUGAAUUUAAGCAUAUCAAUAAGCGGAGGA